UGGUUGGUAAGGGUUCUCCUAUCAGGUAGCAAGAAGGUAGGUGCCUGCACGAUCCGUAAUUUGGGUCGUGACAACUGCACUAAAAUUUGAUUACGGAUACACAUCACCACCACCCCCAAAAUUCAACUCCCUGUAAAUUCUCAUUGGCGCCGUAUAAAUUUCUUUCUGUUCUCCAUUCCUUUUCUCCUACCGCUCUGUAUUCCCCAAUCUUUAUCACCCUUAGGGUUUUCUAAUGACUUUGAAAGACGUUCAGGGCUUUACAAACUGGAAUAGCUUACGUAGAAUCAUCUUCAUAAUAAGGGAUAGAAUUUUUUGACCUUUCAUUGUUGGAAAACCAGUUUCUGAAAUUACCUUUAAAUUUUGCGGGAUGGCAUUUUUAAACCUUCCAUUGUUGGAACAUGAAUUUGUGCACAUUUAAGGGAUGAUGGUAGGUAUUAUCAGCAUCUUUGGGAUUUCGUUGCAAGUUUUCACUCUGAAAAUCAGGUCUUAUCUUCUAUGGUCCGACUGUUAUAUUAGUAGCUCUAAUUAAUUUAUAUGCAUAUGACGCAAUGUUCUGCAAAUAUUUUUCUAUUUUUUAUAUCUUUUAUCGUUCUUAUUGUCUUUUCCUCUUUACCUAUUCUCUAUUUAUAUGAUGUUAUUGUUCAAAAAUUUCUAUUUGUUUUCUUGGCAAAAGGUUGAAAUGAAAGUGUAUAUUUUCUGUGAUGGGUGGGAAAGAAGAGUCAACAAUGUCGUUAAGAACGUGAAAUGCUCGUACAACGGUUAUUGGAGAAAUUAGUACAACAAGCCAUGGAUACACUUCUUGAUAAUGGUAUCUGGGACAACCAAUGAGGGCCAGUCGUAAUAAAUUUUACAAGUCAUUUUCUGAUGUAACUAAAGGAGGUGAAUGGAAUCCGACACAUAAAUUAGUUAGUUUGCUAACUUUUGGUGUCUUUUUUUUUUUUGGUCAUUUAAGGCACAAUGACAACCGCUACAAGUAAACUUGUGUUAGCAAAUUAUAUGGACCAUAUGAUGCUAAGCAGAUUAAUUUAGAAUCGGUACAUUUCUGAUUCUCUAAUAUGUAUAAAGAGAUCAGCUACUUGCUAUUUUACAUUGCAAGCAGCAUUUGAGUGGUUAUAGGGCUUGUAAUAUUUUAUAUAUUUUUCGCCUCUUAAGGAGCUACUCUCUUCGGCUAUGCUCCACUGGAUCUUUUUACGCUCCCCUAUUUGGCGACUUAGCAAGUCAACUAUUCAUUUUGAUACUCUUAGCUUAAAAUUUCUUCUUUGCACCAUAAUUUAUUCUCAUGAAUACAUAUGUUUUUAAUGUGAUACUGUUUUAGCUGUGUUCGUGAAGUCAUACGUUUGAUCGUGUAUAAAAAGGCCCAAAUCAAGAGGAUUUGGUUGAACAAUGACACAACCCGCCCUUGCAAGAAAAUAUUAGAUGCAAGGGAAAAGGGAAGUUUCAAUUUUCAAGGUGUGUGAGAUCUCUUUGGUCUACCAAAUCAUCUGUCGAGUGGAUAUAAAGAUGAGGUAAAGAACAUUUGUCUAUCAUGUCUCUUAAGUCUUAGCAUUUUUCAAACAUGAGAGUUAAUUGAAAUUUUGCUGAAUCUUAUGGCCUUUAAUAAAAAAUAUUAUUCUGUUACAUUCUGUUUUCAUUAUAUAUUUUACCCGUUUUAAGUACUUUAACUGUUCAACUGCACUUUUGUAUCUUUGAAUUUGUUGAUGAGAUCGUGAAAAAUAAUAAAUUGAAAGAAUACAUCACGGUUGUUUAGUGAAUUCAAUCUAUUUGUCUUUUUAUUUUCUAACCUGACAUUGUAUUCUUUUCCCUUUUCUGCAUUUCUUCGUUAGCUAGAGUACUAAUACCAAGAUUCCAACAAUGAUUUGAAGGGUCAACUUUUUUGGAAGAACAUUGUGCUCGCACUUUCCUAAGCUAGAGUUCAUAUUUUUUUUCCUCAGAUUUUUGGCAUUUUUACUCAAUUGUUUCAUUUAAAACUGCUACAUUAAAGGAAAAAAAAUUAAGCGCCACUAUUAUAACGGCUGAGACUGAAACAUUAAUAUUCAUGAAAUGAUGUCCCCACAGUUAAAAGGCCUGGACUUCUGUGGUGUAUGCUUUCAAUAUCAGAGUAGACUUUACUUCAUGGAAGUUUUCAUCUAUACUCCACAACCACUUUGCCCUAAUAUCACUGUGUUAUUCCCACUAUAACAUUCGUUGGCACAGUAAUCUCCUCCGUCAUUCACCGCCGCUUGCCACCAUUUUCCUUACGGCACAUGCUCCUCAUAUUAUUCAACAUUUGUAGUACGUCAAUUUGUGCGACUGCGAAUUACAUUGAUGUUAACACUGAUUUAAGCAAUGUGCAACUGAUGAUGGUCAUUCAAUUGCUAACAUUAUUUCCCAUAUAUAAGUUUUUCAUUGUAGGUUUUCUUCUAUAAUAUGUAUUGCUCAAAUGUGCCUCAAUACGUAACUGUUGGGGAGUGGUUUCAGUUUUCCCUAUCCAAUAGGUCCAGUGAAACUUUUAUAGAGAGAUCAAGCACAUCAAAGGAAUAUCAGUUUAUGCAAAGGGACACCGUCCGAAGUUCCCCAUUGAGAACUCUCAGAAGAUUGACAAAAUUGAAACCUGUUUAAGGAUGCGUUCAAAGGGUAUAAUGAUUUUCGAAGUGCUAAAACAUCGGUAUUUAUGGUUGUCACGCAUACAGAAGGAAGACUUUACAUAAUGAUGUUUGCAGAUUGUACUUAUGAAAGGAAGCUAGCGAUUAGGAUUGGCAAUGAUACCCUGAUUGUAUCAGUUUUGAACUACAUGAAAAAGGACAGUUCUGUCAUAAAUAUUCUGUGCAAAGCUCAAAAGAAGCUUCUAUUUGAGGCCGU